GUUUGACGGCUCCUGGCGCUCGCCUCGCCGACCGCCAUGUCACAUCCGAGAGAGGAGGCGGGGGCGGCCGCGGAGAGGAUUCUUUUUUUGUUUUUUUGUUUUGUGUUUUGUCCCCUCCACAAGAGUGGUCUUGCUGAGCUGGUAAAGUGAGGAACGCAGCAGCAGCAGAGACAGCAGAAGAGUGGUGGUGUUGGCAGAGGCAGCAGAACCCCAGUGGCAGUAACAGCUCAGCCAUCAGCAGGCCAUGGUGUGAAUGCAGCAGAAGCAGCAGCUCAACAGCUGUGCAGUGACCAGGUCAAGAUGUAAGAACUGUCAGCUCCUUUUCCAGCACCAUGUCUGCCUGCAUGCUGCCUUGCUUCCUGCCAUGAGUAUAAUGGACUACACCUCUGAACUGUAAGCAAGCUACUCCAAGUAGAUGUUUUUCCUUUGUAA